CACGAUGUAAUUAAGUUCAACCAUCAAUUCCUUUAGGUCAUAAUGGCAUCGCUAUCGAGGGCUAGGUUUUGGAUCUAAAGCAAUUCAUGAUAGUGCCAAAAUAUUGAAGGACCACAAACCCAUACAAUAUUUUUUUGCAUAGGCUUUGUUGGAGCAGUAGACAAGUGUACCUAAUGUAAGCACUUUUUUCUUCUUUAUUUUGGUAUUUGUAUGGAAUUUUUCCAAUAAGCUCACAUGCAUUCAUGUGACCUUUCAUGAAGAAAAACCAACAUAUGGACGAAAAUGAUGAGCAGCAACUAGUGAAGAAGAUAAAGAAGGAU
rnacentral:lncRNA from 1 species